rnacentral:rRNA from 1 species
UGGGGAAUAUUGGGACAAUGGGCGCAAGCCUGAUCCAGCCAUACCGCGUGGGUGAAGAAGGCCUUCGGGUUGUAAAGCCCUUUUGUUGGGAAAGAAAUCCAGCUGGCUAAUACCUGGUUGGGAUGACGGUACCCAAAGAAUAAGCACCGGCUAACUUCGUGCCAGCAGCCGCGGUAAUACGAAGGGUGCAAGCGUUACUCGGAAUUACUGGGCGUAAAGCGUGCGUAGGUGGUUAUUUAAGUCCGUUGUGAAAGCCCUGGCUCAACCUGGGAACUGCAGUGGAUACUGGAUGACUAGAGUGUGGUAGAGGGUAGCGGAAUUCCUGGUGUAGCAGUGAAAUGCGUAGAGAUCAGGAGGAACAUCCAUGGCGAAGGCAGCUACCUGGACC